GGAUGUGAGGGCGAUCUGGCUGCGACAUCUGUCACCCCAUUGAUCGCCAGAGUUGAUUCGGCUGAUCUGGCUGGCUAGGUGGGUGUCCCCUUCCUCCCUCACUGCUCCAUGUGCAUCCCUCCCGAAGCUGCACGCUUGGUCGAAGAGGACGGCCUUCUCCGAAUAGAAAUGUGUAUUACCAAGUGCCAUG
rnacentral:snRNA from 1 species